UGGCGGACGGGGGAGUAAUGUCUGGGAAACGUGCCCGAUGGAGGGGGAUAACUACUGGAAACGGUAGCUAAUACCGCAUAACGUCGCAAGACCAAAGAGGGGGACCUUCGGGCCUCUUGCCAUCGGAUGUGCCCAGAUGGGAUUAGCUAGUAGGUGGGGUAAAGGCUCACCUAGGCGACGAUCCCUAGCUGGUCUGAGAGGAUGACCAGCCACACUGGAACUGAGACACGGUCCAG
rnacentral:rRNA from 1 species